GAUGAACGCUGGCGGCGUGCCUAAUACAUGCAAGUCGAGCGAACGGACGAGAAGCUUGCUUCUCUGAUGUUAGCGGCGGACGGGUGAGUAACACGUGGAUAACCUACCUAUAAGACUGGGAUAACUUCGGGAAACCGUAGCUAAUACCGGAUAAUAUUUUGAACCGCAUGGUUCAAAAGUGAAAGACGGUCUUGCUGUCACUUAUAGAUGGAUCCGCGCUGCAUUAGCUAGUUGGUAAGGUAACGGCUUACCAAGGCAACGAUGCAUAGCCGACCUGAGAGGGUGAUCGGCCACACUGGAACUGAGACACGGUCCAGACUCCUACGGGAGGCAGCAGUAGGGAAUCUUCCACAAUGGGCGAAAGCCUGACGGAGCAACACCGCGUGAGUGAUGAAGGUCUUCGGAUCGUAAAACUCUGUUAUUAGGGAAGAACAUAUGUGUAAGUAACUGUGCACAUCUUGACGGUACCUAAUCAGAAAGCCACGGCUAACUACGUG
rnacentral:rRNA from 1 species